GAAAGGGGCGGUACUACCGGAUGAAGUCGAAAGACCAAAGAUUUAUCGGCACUUGAUCGACCUAUCUCCUAUCACCUUGUUGGUGAGGUAACGGCUCACCAAUGCUACGACCGGUUAUGCUGGGACUGAGAGGUUGGCCCGCCACAUCGGGACUGAUACAUCUGCCCGGACCUCCACGGAGGGCUGCAGUAACGGAUAUUGGGCAAUUGUGGCGAAAACCUGAGCCAGCAAUGCCGCGUGUAGGAGGAAGCCCCUCGGGGUGUAAACUACUGUCAAGGGUCAUAAAGCUAACUUCGGUUAGUUGAUCAGCCCCAGAGGAAGUCACGGCUAACUUCGUGCCAGCAUCCGCGGUAAGACGAAUGUGGCAAGCGUUGUCCGGAAUCACUGGGCUUACAGGGCACUCAGGCGGAAUAGAUAGUGUCGUGUGAAAUCCCCCGGCUUAACCGGGGAAUUGCUCGGCAAACUGCUAUUCUUGAGGCAAGUAAGGGUAUGUGGAACUCUUGGUGGAGCGGUGGAAUGCGUAGAUAUCAAGAGGAACGCCGAAGGUGAAGACAGCAUACUGGGCUUGGCCUGACGCUGAGGUGCGAAAGCGUGGGGAGCGAACGGGAUUAGAUACCCCGGUAGUCCACGCCGUAAACGAUGUCUACUAGCUUGUGGCUGUUCUGACACAAACACGGCCGAAGCAAAAGUGUUAAGUAGACCGCCUGGGGAGUACGGCCGCAAGGCUCAAACUCAAAGGAAUUGACGGGGGCUCACACAAGCGGUGGAGCAUGUGGAUUAAUUCGAAGCAACGCGCAGAACCUUACCUGGGUUUGACAUGCUUGGAUGCCUGCCUGGAAACAGGUUAGGUUGCCCUUCGGGGUGAAACUUGCACAGGUGCUGCAUGGCUGUCGUCAGCUCGUGUCGUGAGAUGUCGGGUUAAGUCCUUUAACGAGCGAAACCCUUCUCGUUAGUUGCCAGCGGGUAAUGCCGGGGACUCUAACGGGACUGCCGGUGUCAAACCGGAGGAAGCCGGGGAUGACGUCAAGUCCUCAUGGCCCAUAUGCCCAGGGCCUCACACGCGCUACAAUGGCGAUCACAGAGGGACGCAAGACCGCGAGGUGGAGCAAAGCCCGGAAAGGUCGCCCCAGUUCGGAUUGCAGACUG
rnacentral:rRNA from 1 species